rnacentral:rRNA from 1 species
AUUGAACGCUGGCGGCAGGCCUAACACAUGCAAGUCGAGCGGAUGAAGGGAGCUUGCUCCUGGAUUCAGCGGCGGACGGGUGAGUAAUGCCUGGGAAUCUGCCUGGUAGUGGGGGAUAACGUCCGGAAACGGGCGCUAAUACCGCAUACGUCCUGAGGGAGAAAGUGGGGGAUCUUCGGACCUCACGCUAUCAGAUGAACCUAGGUCGGAUUAGCUAGUUGGUGGGGUAAAGGCCUACCAAGGCGACGAUCCGUAACUGGUCUGAGAGGAUGAUCAGUCACACUGGAACUGAGACACGGUCCAGACUCCUACGGGAGGCAGCAGUGGGGAAUAUUGGACAAUGGGCGAAAGCCUGAUCCAGCCAUGCCGCGUGUGUGAAGAAGGUCUUCGGGUUGUAAAGCACUUUAAGUUGGGAGGAAGGGCAGUAAGUUAAUACCUUGCUGUUUUGACGUUACCAACAGAAUAAGCACCGGCUAACUUCGUG